UGGUGGAGUGAUUUGUCAGCUUAAUUGCCUUAACGAACGAGACCUUAACCUGCUAAAUAGGCGCAGUUAAUACCUAGCUGUGGCCUUCUUAGAGGGACUACGUCCAAAACGUGGAAGUUUGAGGCAAUAACA
rnacentral:rRNA from 1 species